AUACAUGCAAGUCGAACGCGUUGGCCCAACUGAUUGAACGUGCUUGCACGGACUUGACGUUGGUUUACCAGCGAGUGGCGGACGGGUGAGUAACACGUAGGUAACCUGCCCCAAAGCGGGGGAUAACAUUUGGAAACAGAUGCUAAUACCGCAUAACAAUUUGAAUCGCAUGAUUCAAAUUUAAAAGAUGGCUUCGGCUAUCACUUUGGGAUGGACCUGCGGCGCAUUAGCUUGUUGGUAGGGUAACGGCCUACCAAGGCUGUGAUGCGUAGCCGAGUUGAGAGACUGAUCGGCCACAAUGGAACUGAGACACGGUCCAUACUCCUACGGGAGGCAGCAGUAGGGAAUCUUCCACAAUGGGCGCAAGCCUGAUGGAGCAACACCGCGUGAGUGAAGAAGGGUUUCGGCUCGUAAAGCUCUGUUGUUAGAGAAGAACGUGCGUGAGAGCAACUGUUCACGCAGUGACGGUAUCUAACCAGAAAGUCACGGCUAACUACGUGCCAGCAGCCCGCGGUAAAAUUCUUA
rnacentral:rRNA from 2 species